CAUGCAAGUCGAACGGGGUGCUUGCACCCAGUGGCGAACGGGUGAGUAACACGUAUCUAAUCUACCCAUUAGCGGGGGAUAACAGUUGGAAACGACUGCUAAUACCGCAUACGACAUUUUCUGGCAUCAGAGAAUGUUAAAAGGUCCGUUUGGACCACUAAUGGAUGAGGGUGCGGCGUAUUAGUUAGUUGGUGGGGUAAUGGCCUACCAAGACAAUGAUACGUAGCCGAACUGAGAGGUUGAACGGCCACAUCGGGACUGAGACACGGCCUGAACUCCUACGGGAGGCAGCAGUAGGGAAUUUUUCACAAUGGGCGAAAGCCUGAUGGAGCAAUGCCGCGUGACUGAAGACGGUCUUCGGAUUGUAAAGGUCUGUUGUAAGGGAAGAAC
rnacentral:rRNA from 1 species